rnacentral:rRNA from 1 species
AUACGUAUGUCGCAAGCGUUAUCCGGAUUUAUUGGGCGUAAAGCGCGUCUAGGCGGCUUAGUAAGUCUGAUGUGAAAAUGCGGGGCUCAACCCCGUAUUGCGUUGGAAACUGCUAAACUAGAGUACUGGAGAGGUAGGCGGAACUACAAGUGUAGAGGUGAAAUUCGUAGAUAUUUGUAGGAAUGCCGAUGGGGAAGCCAGCCUACUGGACAGAUACCGACGCUAAAGCGCGAAAGCGUGGGUAGCAAACAGGAUUAGAUACCCUGGUAGUCCACGCCGUAAACGAUGAUUACUAGGUGUUGGGGGUCGAACCUCAGCGCCCAAGCUAACGCGAUAAGUAAUCCGCCUGAGGAGUACGUACGCAAGUAUGAAACUCAAAUGAAUUGACGGGG